rnacentral:lncRNA from 1 species
GGGGAGGACCACACCCAGAUGAUCACCAGAACUAUAGCAGGAGAAUAAAAGAUACGGGCUCAUGGAACCAAAGACAGAGUGACCAACUCCGCACCUGAGUGGCAUGAAGACCCUAAAACCUUCAGUUAGUCCUCUGUGACUCGACUUUCUUGUCUGUAAGCUGUGGGUAACAAGAAAUCCACCAGAGAGGUGGAUCUCAAUUACUUCUCUACUGCUGUGAUGAAACACCAUGACCAAAGCAACCUGACGGGAAAGGGUUCACUUGGCUUACACGUCCAUCCCAUAGUCAGUCACUGGAAGGAGUCAGGGCAGGAACCUGGAGGCAGGAGCUGAUGCAGAGGCCACGGAAGGAUGCUGCUUACUGUCUUGCUCACAUGGCUCACUUAGCCUGCUUUCUUCUAUAACUCAGGACCACCACCCCAGGGAUGGCUCCACCCACCAUGGGAUGUGAAACUCCCAAACCCUUUAGUUAAUUAAUAAAAUACUUAACAGCUGAAUUUUUUAAAUUUUAUUUAUGUAUUAUUUAUAUGAGUAUACUGUUGCUGUCCUCGGACACACCAGAAGAGGGCAUCAGACCCCAUUACAGAUGGUUGUGAACCACCAUGUGGUUGCUAGGAAUUGAACUCAGGACCUUUGAACGAGCAGCUGCAGCUGUUAACCACUAGCCCAGAGUUCCAAAGUCCUUCUGAAAUCCUCCAAAACACAUGGUCAAGUUUGUCACAGCAAUGCCUCAGAAUCUUGCAACCGAUUUAUCUUAUUUACUUUUCUACUCCU